AUGCUCACUUCGGCAGCACAUACAGUAAAAUUGGAACCAUACAGAGAAGAAUAACAUAGCCCCUGUGCGAGGAUAACAUGCAAAUUCAUGAGGCAUUCCAUAUUUUU
rnacentral:snRNA from 1 species